AACGCAUAUUGCGCUCGAGGCUUCGGCCAAGAGCAUGUCUGCCUCAGCGUCGGGUUAAUAUCACAUUCCCUAUCACCUUGAUUGGUGAUAUAUAUUGGGGCUCAAUGUGGACUUGGCUGUUCCAGUUCAGUGCGGGCUGUUUGACUUAUUGAUUUCAAUAAGGCAUAUGCUGCCCAUCGAGCGCCCUGGAUCAGCUGAAGAACAGAGGCUAACAAGGACUCUUCAAGGGUCGCAACUGAGUAGGCACUUGUUGCUGAUUACUUUAGUUGUUGGCCUGAGACCUUCUGUUCAGCCCUCAACCAGGAAAUAACCUAUUGACCUAUUAUCUCGACCUGAGCUCAGGCAAGAACACCCGCUGAACUUAA
rnacentral:misc_RNA from 1 species